rnacentral:rRNA from 1 species
AGAGUUUGAUCCUGGCUCAGAUUGAACGCUGGCGGCAUGCUUUACACAUGCAAGUCGAACGGCAGCACGGGGGCAACCCUGGUGGCGAGUGGCGAACGGGUGAGUAAUAUAUCGGAACGUACCCGGAAAUGGGGGAUAACGUAGCGAAAGUUACGCUAAUACCGCAUAUGCCCUGAGGGGGAAAGCGGGGGAUUCGCAAGAACCUCGCGUUUUCGGAGCGGCCGAUAUCGGAUUAGCUAGUAGGUGAGGUAAAGGCUCACCUAGGCGACGAUCCGUAGCUGGUCUGAGAGGACGACCAGCCACACUGGAACUGAGACACGGCCCAGACUCCUACGGGAGGCAGCAGCAAGGGAUCUUGCGCAAUGGGCGAAAGCCUGACGCAGCGACGCCGCGUGGGGGAUGAAGGCCUUCGGGUUGUAAACCCCUUUUAUCAGGGACGAAAAAAAUGACGGUACCUGGUGAAUAAGCAUCGGCAAACUACGUGCCAGCAGCCGCGGUAAUACGUAGGAUGCGAGCGUUAUCCGGAUUUACUGGGCGUAAAGAGGGCGCGGGCGGCUAUUUAAGUCCGGGGUGAAAUCUCUCGGCCUAACUGAGAGAAGUCCUUGGAUACUGAGUGGCUUGAGGGCAGCAGAGGGAGGUGGAAUUCCCGGUGUAGCGGUGAAAUGCGUAGAUAUCGGGAGGAACACCAGUGGCGAAGGCGACCUCCUGGGCUGUCCCUGACGCUGAGGCCCGAAAGCGUGGGGAGUGAACCGGAUUAGAUACCCUGGUAGUCC